AUUGAACGCUGGCGGCAGGCCUAACACAUGCAAGUCGAACGAGUGGCGGACGGGUGAGUAAUGUCUGGGAAACUGCCUGAUGGAGGGGGAUAACUACUGGAAACGGUAGCUAAUACCGCAUACCAUCAGAUGUGCCCAGAUGGGAUUAGCUGGUUGGUGGGGUAACGGCUCACCAAGGCGACGAUCCCUAGCUGGUCUGAGAGGAGGACAAGCUACACGGGAACUGGUACACGGUCCAGACGCCUCUGGGAGGCAGCAGUGGGGAAUCUUGCACAAGGGGCGCAAGCCUGAUGCAGCCAGGCCGCGGGGAUGAAGAAGGCCUUCGGGUUGUAAAGUACUUUCAGCGGGGAGGCGUUACCCGCAGAAGAAGCACCGGCUAACUCCGUGCCAGCAGCCGCGGUAAUUC
rnacentral:rRNA from 1 species